GCGCAAUGGACGAAAGUCUGACGCAGCAACGCCGCGUGAGGGAUGAAGGCCUUCGGGUUGUAAACCUCUUUUCUCAGGGACGAUAAUGACGGUACCUGAGGAAUAAGCCACGGCUAACUACGUGCCAGCAGCCGCGGUAAUACGUAGGUGGCGAGCGUUGUCCGGAUUUACUGGGCGUAAAGAGCGCGCAGGCGGUCGUACAAGUCGCGUGUGAAAGCCCCCGGCUCAACUGGGGAGGGUCACGCGAUACUGUUCGACUCGAAGGCAGGAGAGGGAAGUGGAAUUCCCGGUGUAGUGGUGAAAUGCGUAGAUAUCGGGAGGAACACCAGUGGCGAAGGCGACUUCCUGGCCUGUUCUUGACGCUGAGGCGCGAAAGCUAGGGUAGCAAACGGGAUUAGAUACCCCGGUAGUCCUAGCCGUAAACGAUGGACACUAGGUGUUGGUGGUAUCAACCCCGCCAGUGCCGUAGCUAACGCAUUAAGUGUCCCGCCUGGGGAGUACGGCCGCAAGGCUA
rnacentral:rRNA from 1 species